CCGAUUCCCGAUUAUUAAAUCAGUUCAUGAGCAUGAGAUCCGCCUGGGAAGAGGAGCAAGUCUACAAAAUGAAUGCAGAUUCGGGCAGAUAUGGCGGAGAUCGUGGAGAUGACGACCCUGGAUGAUCGGAAAGGGAAAAAGAAUCGGUCUUUCUGUUCUAGAAUUGGAAAAUGAAUGCCUGGUUCGUAGUCUCUGCGAAUUAGUUCCUCAAAAAAAAAAAAAGAAGAGCAAGAACACGGAAGAAUGGCCUGACGGGCGAAACCCACCGAUCGCAGAGUGAGUCCUGGCUGCUCGCCUUCUGCUAAACGAAAGAGGAAUACGAUCAUGCACGCGUCUCUGGAUGGCAGAUAUAACUUUCUGGGAUGAGACAAGCAGACAGAGGCCGAAACUUUUCCCCCUUUUCCUUGACUUCCACAAGCUGGAUUCUUUCCGGAUUCUCAGAAAAGGGGAGAGGGAUGAGAUCACGAAGAAGAUGGGCAAGGGGAGAGUUCAAAAGGCAAUGCGGCCGGAGUUUUUUAAUAAUCGGAAAGGAACCAGUGAUUAACAACCAGGAACUUGAGGCAAAGAUCGAGAGAAAGCUUACCAGUCCCGAGAUCCAGGGCCGUAGUUCCCGGGAAGUGAGUGCCACACGGCCAAACUGCCCCAACUCUCUCUCUUCUCUCUCUCUCUCUUUCUCGUUCCUCUCUCUAUAUCUCGCUCUCUUACCGCCCCUUUUCCAGGUUCGCAAAUAGUGACAGUGCCGUGCCCACUGAACACGAUCCCUGUGGCCGUAGAAAGCCCUAAUCUUCAUCUCCCGACCGGUCAGGUUACAUCGAGCGCUACGUCGUUCAACGCCGGUCCCCAGGUGGAUCCCGCCGCCGCCGCCGGCCGCCGUUGUGGCUCCUCUCACACCACAACGAUCAAAACUUUCGAAUCAGCAGCGAAUAAAAACUGCUUCUCCCUCAACGAUCUCCGCCGUCGAUGGAUUCGGACGCCCGUUGUCCGUCCACCUCCGAUACUCCCUGCAAUCUUUUCCCAGUCCAAGUGUCUAGGUUCGAUGAAUUUCGUGUGAACUCGAAAGCACCGGUGGCCGUUGUCCAUUGAAAGCUCAACCCGUCUCCGUUUCUGAUGUGAAAAAUCCAUCUAAAUUCAAUGUUUUUUUAAUGUGGUCGGCCGCGUAACCAUCAGCGCU
rnacentral:lncRNA from 1 species